rnacentral:rRNA from 1 species
AAUGGCGAAUGAAGCGGCAAGAGCCCAAAUUUGAAAUCGGGCAACCGAGUUGUAAUUUGGAGACGGGACACUAGAGAGGAGGAAGGCGAUUAAGUGCCUUGGAACAGGCUGCCGUAGAGGGUGAGAGCCCCGUGAAUCGCUGGAGACCGAUCAAUUAGUGCCCGCCGAAGAGUCGAGUUGUUUGGGAAUGCAGCUCUAAGUGGGUGGUAUAUUCCAUCUAAGGCUAAAUAUUAGCGAGAGACCGAUAGCAAACAAGUACAGUGAUGGAAAGAUGAAAAGAACUUUGGAAAGAGAGUGAAAUAGUACGUGAAAUUGUUGAAAGGGAAGGGUAUUUGAUCCGACAUGGUGUUUAGCAGCGGCCCGUUCCUCGUGGAUGGGUGCACCUGGUUUACACUGGGCCAGCAUCGGUUCUGGGAGCCAUAUACGGGGUUCGUGAAUGUGGCCCUUCGAUUCUGUCGGAGGGUGUUAUAGCGCGGACAUCUUGUGGCUAGCCGGGACCGGGGACUGCGGUGACUUGUCACCAAGGAUGCUGGCAGAACGAGCAAAUACCACCCGUCUUGAACC